rnacentral:tRNA from 1 species
UGAAGAUUUGAAACUUAGGCUGCUAACUUGAGUUUGGGGAAAAUCGUUCUCCAUCUUCAU